rnacentral:tRNA from 1 species
GCCGGAAUAGCUCAGUUGGUAGAGCAACGCUUUCGUAAAGCGGAGGUCAGAGGUUCGACUCCCCUUUCCGGCA